rnacentral:tRNA from 1 species
GGCUAACUGGCUCGGUCGGUAGAGCGCGGGACUCUUGAUCGCGCGGUCGUGAGUUCAAGCCCCAUGUUGGGUG